rnacentral:rRNA from 1 species
CAUUAGCCGCGGUAAUACAGAGGGUGCGAGCGUUAAUCGGAUUUACUGGGCGUAAAGCGUGCGUAGGCGGCUUCUUAAGUCGGAUGUGAAAUCCCUGAGCUUAACUUAGGAAUUGCAUUCGAUACUGGGAAGCUAGAGUAUGGGAGAGGAUGGUAGAAUUCCAGGUGUAGCGGUGAAAUGCGUAGAGAUCUGGAGGAAUACCGAUGGCGAAGGCAGCCAUCUGGCCUAAUACUGACGCUGAGGUACGAAAGCAUGGGGAGCAAACAGGAUUAGAUACCCGAGUAGUCCCUGUCUCUUAUAC